rnacentral:lncRNA from 7 species
CUAGCGGGCAGCAAGAAGCACAGCACCGCCAGUUACCACGCAGACAUCCUGGGGAACUGAGAAUCUUAGGAAACAAAAGUGCCACCAUGCCUGGUUUUAUGCACUGCUGGUGAUAGGAAAUAGGGCAGGUUGCCAGGUGACUGCUCUACCAAUGGAACUGUUUCUCCGGCUCUCAGCCCACCACCUACCAGAGGUAGUGGAAAAGAAAGGACAUGGGGGAAGUGGACCUGUUUAGAAGUGGUUCUUUGAAGCAGCUCUCAUCUGUGUUAUCAGGAAAUCGGCAGUUUGGUUUACAGGUCAGCAACAGCAGCUUGAUCCACUUGCAAACACUUCACAGAUACACCAGCAGUCCAGUUCGGGAGAGUCCGAAGAGCAAACAUGAAUCAGCAGUAGUGCCAUCACCUAACAGGGACAUCCAGGCCUCAGCCAGAUCAGCACAAGUCAGCAGGAGGGACCAGAACCAACAGGGACACCAGGAGUUCUUUGCUGUGCCUCUCUCAGUGAAGCAAAGAUCAUCAAAGAUGAGAGACCAAGAAGUAUUGCAGAGCUAGCUCUACAAGCAAGCCCCUCUCAGUCCUAUUUACACUCCCUCCAAAAAUCACGUGCUCUCCACAGCUCUUGCCUCAGCAUGUGAGUCUGUCUUAGCAAAACUCCACGAGUCUAUAUCAGCUGACAUCACUCUGCCAGUUGACCCAAGUCCUCAGAAGCUGCAAGAAGCCGCAGCAUACUACCAGAAGGUUUUUUUGGUGUAUUUCGAUUUCUGGAGUCCUGACAAAUGGCGCUCAACUACACAAUUUAAGGCAGACCAAUACUUGUGUGUUGUUAAUGAAGAAUCCGUCACCAUGUGUCCUUUCACGUGCUUGCUUUAGCAGAAAAUCCUUUCACGCGUGUCUGCUUCAGUGAAACAUUCCUUCACAAGUCUGCCUUAGCAAAACAUCCUUUCACCUGUGUCCACUUCAGGGAAAAACUCCUUCAUGUGUUUGUCCCAGCAAAACACCAUCCAACACAACUGACUUUCCAAA